CGGGGUGUGGCCUAGUCUGGUAGGGCGUCUGACUGGGGGUCAGAAGAUCGAAGGUUCGAAUCCUUUCACCCCGA
rnacentral:tRNA from 1 species